rnacentral:rRNA from 1 species
AAGACGUGAUAAGCUGCGAAAAGCUUCGGGGAGGAGCAAAUAUCCAUUGAUCCGGAGAUUUCUGAAUGGGGAAACCUACUUGAGAAGACCUCAAGUAUCCUUAGCCCAAUACAUAAGCUAAGGAGGGGAACCCGGUGAACUGAAACAUCUAAGUAGCCGGAGGAAGAGAAAACAACAUGUGAUUCUGUGAGUAGCGGCGAGCGAAAACGGAAGAGCCCAAACCAGUGUGCGUGCAUGCUGGGGUUCGGACCGCGGAAUUGAUUCAAUGAGUUUAGCAGAAUGGUUUUGGGAAAGCCAGCCAGAGAGGGUGAAAGCCCCGUAAGCGAAAGACGAGUUGACAAGGCGGGAUCCAGAGUAGGUCGAGACACGAGAAACCUUGACUGAAUAAGCGGGGACCACCCCGUAAGGCUAAAUACUACUUAGUGACCGAUAGCGCAUAGUACUGUGAAGGAAAGGUGAAAAGGACCCCGGGAGGGGAGUGAAAGAGAACCUGAAACCAUAUGUUUACAAGCUGUGGAACCGCAUUAUUGGCGGAACUGCGUACUUUUUGUAGAACGGUCCGGCGAGUUACGCUGUCUGGCGAGGUUAAGCACUGUAGGUGUGGAGCCGAAGGGAAACCAAGUUUUAACUGAGCGAGAAGUCAGACGGAGUAGACAGUGAAAGAGAACCUGAAACCAUAUGUUUACAAGCUGUGGAACCGCAUUAUUGGCGGAACCGCGUACUUUUUGUAGAACGGUCCGGCGAGUUACGCUGUCUGGCGAGGUUAAGCACUGCAGGUGUGGAGCCGAAGGGAAACCAAGUUUUAACUGAGCGAGAAGUCAGACGGAGUAGACCCGAAACCGGGUGAUCUAUCCAUGUCCAGGUUGAAGUUGCCGUAAAAGGCAAUGGAGGACCGAACCCACAUCCGUUGAAAAGGGUGGGGAUGAGGUGUGGAUAGGGGAGAAAUUCCAAUCGAACCCGGAGAUAGCUGGUUCUCCUCGAAAUAGCUUUAGGGCUAGCCUCAUACGAGUCUUGCGGAGGUAGAGCACUGAAUUUCCGCGGGGGCGUCAAAGCUUACCAAAGAAUAUCAAACUCCGAAUGCCGUGUAGAUGCUGUAUGGGAGUCAGACUGUCCGAGAUAAGUUGGAUGGUCAAAAGGGAAAGAGCCCAGACCUACGGCUAAGGUCCCAAAAUGUGUGUUAAGUGGAAAAGGAUGUGGGAUUUCGAAGACAACUAGGAUGUUGGCUCAGAAGCAGCCAUACAUUCAAAGAGUGCGUAAUAGCUCACUAGUCGAGAGGUCCUGCGCCGAAAAUGUCCGGGGCUGAAACACACUACCGAAGCCUAGGAAUCUUUUAGAAGAUUGGUAGAGGAGCAUUGCAUACGGGAAGAAGCUAUACCGGAAGGAGUAGUGGACUGUAUGGAAGAGAGAAUGCCGGAAUGAGUAGCGAGAGGAAGGUGAGAAUCCUUCCGGCCGAAUAUCUAAGGUUUCCAGAGUAAAGCUGAUCUGCUCUGGGUAAGUCGGGGCCUAAGGCAAGGUCGAAAGACGUAGUCGAUGGAUAACAGGUUGAAAUUCCUGUACUAUUUUAUGACAGAACUGUGGGGACGCAGGGAGAGAGCACGAGCCGGGAAUGGAAAGACCGGUGCAAGCGAGGUAUCCGUGAGGUAGGCAAAUCCGCCUCAUAAGGAGAAGACGUGAUGCGGACUGAAGUAUAAGUAGGGAAGCGUGUGAGCUAACUGCCAAGAAAAGCCGCUAUUGUUCAUAAAAUACCCGUACCGUAAACCGACACAGGUGGAUGAGGAGAGAAUCCUAAGGCCGACGGGAGAAGCAUUGUUAAGGAACUCGGCAAAAUGACUCCGUAACUUCGGGAGAAGGAGUGCCUGGUGACAGGCCGCAGAGAAAUGGCCCAAGCAACUGUUUAGCAAAAACACAGGUCUAUGCAAAACCGAAAGGUGAGGUAUAUGGGCUGACGCCUGCCCGGUGCUGGAAGGUUAAGGGGAGAGGUUAGCGCAAGCGAAGCUUUGAACUUAAGCCCCAGUAAACGGCGGCCGUAACUAUAACGGUCCUAAGGUAGCGAAAUUCCUUGUCGGGUAAGUUCCGACCCGCACGAAAGGCGUAAUGAUUUGGGCACUGUCUCAACAAUGCACCCGGUGAAAUUGAAAUACCAGUGAAGAUGCUGGUUACCUGCGCCAGGACGGAAAGACCCCAUGGAGCUUCACUCCAGCUUGAUACUGGGAUUCGAUAUUGCAUGUACAGGAUAGGUGGGAGACUAAGAACCAAUGACGCCAGUUGUUGGGGAGUCGCUGUUGGGAUACCACCCUUGCAGUAUUGGGUUUCUAACCAGCGGCCCUGAUCGGGUCGGGGGACAAUGUCAGGUGGGGAGUUUGACUGGGGCGGUCGCCUCCGAAAGGGUAUCGGAGGCGCUCAAAGGUUCCCUCAGAAUGGUUGGAAACCAUUCGAAGAGUGCAAAGGCAGAAGGGAGCUUGACUGCGACACCGACGGGUGGAGCAGGUACGAAAGUAGGACUUAGUGAUCCGGUGGUAUAAAGUGGGAUUGCCAUCGCUCAACGGAUAAAAGCUACCCUGGGGAUAACAGGCUUAUCACUCCCAAGAGUUCACAUCGACGGAGUGGUUUGGCACCUCGAUGUCGGCUCAUCGCAUCCUGGGGCUGAAGUAGGUCCCAAGGGUUGGGCUGUUCGCCCAUUAAAGCGGUACGCGAGCUGGGUUCAGAACGUCGUGAGACAGUUCGGUCCCUAUCCGGCGUGGGCGUAAGAUAUUUGAGAGGAGCUGUCCUUAGUACGAGAGGACCGGGAUGGACUGGCCGCUGGUGUAUCUGUUGUUCUACCAAGAGCAUAGCAGAGUAGCCAAGCCGGGAAGGGAUAAACGCUGAAGGCAUCUAAGCGUGAAGCCCCCCUCAAGAUGAGAUAUCUCAUAACGUCAAGUUAGUAAGACCCCUUGAAGACGACGAGGUAGAUAGGGCAGAGGUGGAAGUGCAGUAAUGCAUGGAGCUGACUGUUACUAAUAGGUCGAGGGCAUAACCA